GGGGGCUCCGCCCUCUCGAACCGCCCCGCCAAACCGGUUCCAGCUGGAACGCAACGCACGGUCUGUACAGCAGGCGGAGCGGCCCGGUGUCCGUGCGGGCCACCCUGGCGGCGACGCCUUGCUGUGGGUAGGGAAACUGAGGCCGAGGAGGGAGCCCACUGUGAGCUUUUCGUCCUGCACGCAGGUCCUAGCUACUCAGCAGCCUAGCAGUUUCUAGUUGCCCCUCCUCCCGUCCCCGGAUGUGCUUCCAAGGAUCCUAAGGAUGAGUUCAGUGUCACACCUGUGUGACCUUAGGAGAGGCGAUCAACCUUUCCGUGCCUGUCAUUCUCUGUAAAAUGUGACAAAAGCACACGAUGCUGUACGAAACCAUUCCUGCUUCUUCCCUGAGUGAGUCCCCUCCCUUCCCGCAGACCUGGCACCCUGCUUACAGAUCUUGCCAGGCACAGACAGAUCUUGCCGGGUGGCUGAGGCAAGCCGGUUGCCUGCUUUCUUCGUCUGGAUCUUAUGGAAGGCUGUGAGGAAUGAAAAGGUGGCAUGUGAGUUUACCUGCUGAGCAAGAGAGGAGCAGAGGACAAGCAGGAGCAGUGUUAUUGAGGCGAGAGCUAAGCCACUGAGGGGCCCACCUGCUUCUGGGAUGCACAGCUUCUCAUGAAUCUUCAGGCUGUUCACCCGUGAGUAAUGGGGGUUGCAGGAAAUUGGUGAGUGAGGGUGUAUCUGCAGUGAAUGCUUCUGUGGAUGCUUUGUGUCCUUCUAAGCCUAUCUCAUUCUUUAAGAACUUCUCAGGGGCAUGAGAAUGUAGAGAAUGGGAUCUUUACCUGAAACUUCAUGGGACUGCAGCAGAGUUCUAGGACAGCCUGGCAGAGCUGUCUGGAUUCCAAAUUCAAGAAUUCCAAAGCCAUAGAAUGGCAGUCCCCACCCCAGCCUGGAGACUUCUAGAGUGGAGGAGCUGGCCGGCUGGGCGACAGCAGGUCUAGAGGGAAGGCACUCGUGGAGCGGUCCAUACUCCACGGUCUAGGAGGCACCGUGCUGCUUUUCACACAGGUUAAAGGUCAUGGGGUGGGGGUGGGGCUGCACUUGUCUUCAGAGGGCUCUGUCCUAGGGCAAACUGCCCAGCAAAAAAGGCUGAGUGGGGAUGAAGGACCACCAGAUGGAGAAGCUGAGGGGGGUAGGAAGCAGCAUGGCUCAUGCCCAGAAAGAAGGUACCAGGAAGCCCCUUCCAGACAGGACAAAAAAAUCAAAGCCACACUGCCCCGUGGCUUCAGCUGUUUGCAGUCCCAGAACCAGUAGAACCAGAAAGAACAGCAGCUCCCCACCAGCGUUCUCCGGGUAUAGCAGGAGCCUGGCGCAGCUGCCUGAGAGUGGGGCAGACUAGUCUGCAGUCCUGAGACCACAGGAGACUGGACUCUUAACAUGAAAACAAGACUCUUGCUUCAGGUCUACAAGUGGCCAGAGUUUAGGGAUCUGCCCUUGGAUACCCACUAGGGGCGGGAAGGGACGUUUGGGGAGGGUAUGGCGGUGAAGUGGGACCACUCUUUCUGCUCUGUUCCCUGGAGAGAACAGUAUGUUGGUUACCUGUGUACAUCUCUGUGACACCACACCCCAGCUGAGCACUUGAAGCAGCCAUCUUUUCUUACUCCGUUCAACCCCAUUGCCCUCAGUUAUCACACAAGGUCAAAGUUGAGGCUGAGACGCAGCUAUGACAACACUGUCUGUCACAUCCCAGCAGAUGGUGUUCCGUUAGGAUCUGUGCAUGCUGACAGUAUGGCAGGUGAGCUUCCUGCACAGUCUUCAGUACCCCAGGACUCUCUAGGGGCUGCCUUAGAGAUGGGGAAAUGGGGCCUAGGAAGAAGGACUAGAAAAGUAAACUCAAGGUUGUCUAACUAACCCAGACUUUGUACUAUGUUUUCCCUUGGUCUGACUUCCUAGUUUUCUCAUCUUUAGAGAAGUCCAACAAUCUGAGGAAGGCCAGGCCAUCCUGACUGUGAAUAUGAGGGAUAAACUCAUCCCACUGGGAAGGCUGGGAGCAGAUUUAACUCUUCAUUACACUCUUCUUGUCUUCCCUGAAGUUUCCUGCCCUCCCUACAGGUUUAUCUACAGCUAAUCUGAAGUGGUAUUUUCCUUUUAGUAAAUCCCGCCUACCAGCAGGAGGCUGUCUAUGCAGAAAGCAGCCAGGGAUCCCAGGGUUCCAGACUUGCCCAUCAUCUGCCCAUUGGACAGUCUGUUUCUGUCACCUGUUUAGGUUUCAGUUUGCCAGUGGGAAGUUCAGCGUCAAGGCCACCUUUUUGUUCUCCACCAUUUUUUCUGUGGUGACCUAUGGGUGCCUCCCCAGCAUCUCCCCAGGCUGCCCACCUGAACAGUUCCCAUGUUCUCCUUGUGAACAAUACAAAAUGGGACAAAAACACCAA